UACGGAGGGGGCAAGCGUUACUCGGAAUUAUUGGGCGUAAAGAGCUCGUAGGCGGUCUGUCGCGUCGGAUGUGAAAACCCAGGGCUCAACCCUGGGCCUGCAGCCGAUACGGGCAGGCUAGAGUUCGGUAGGGGAGACUGGAAUUCCUGGUGUAGCGGUGAAAUGCGCAGAUAUCAGGAGGAACACCGGUGGCGAAGGCGGGUCUCUGGGCCGAUACUGACGCUGAGGAGCGAAAGCGUGGGGAGCGAACAGG
rnacentral:rRNA from 1 species